rnacentral:rRNA from 1 species
UUCGGUGGCUAUGGCGAGAGGGACCCACCCGUUCCCAUUCCGAACACGGAAGUUAAGCCUCUCAGCGGCGAUGGUACUAAGGAGUUGACCUUGGGAGAGUAGCACGUUGCCGAAU